rnacentral:rRNA from 1 species
AUUGAACGCUGGCGGCAGGCCUAACACAUGCAAGUCGAGCGCGAAAGUUCUUCGGAAUGAGUAAAGCGGCGGACGGGUGAGUAAUACAUGGGAAUCUGCCUGGUAGUGGGGGACAACGUUUCGAAAGGAACGCUAAUACCGCAUACGCCCUACGGGGGAAAGGGGGGAGUCUUCGGACCUCUCGCUAUCGGAUGAGCCCA